rnacentral:rRNA from 1 species
GGGGAAUAUUGCACAAUGGGCGCAAGCCUGAUGCAGCGACGCCGCGUGGGGGAUGACGGCCUUCGGGUUGUAAACCUCUUUCAGUAUCGGCGAAGCUCCGUGGUUUUCUGCGGGGUGACGGUAGGUACAGAAGAAGCACCGGCCAACUACGUGCCAGCAGCCGCGGUAAUACGUAGGGUGCGAGCGUUGUCCGGAAUUACUGGGCGUAAAGAGCUCGUAGGUGGUUUGUCACGUUGUUCGUGAAAACUCACAGCUUAACUGUGGGCGUGCGGGCGAUACGGGCAGACUAGAGUACUGUAGGGGAGACUGGAAUUCCUGGUGUAGCGGUGGAAUGCGCAGAUAUCAGGAGGAACACCGGUGGCGAAGGCGGGUCUCUGGGCAGUAACUGACGCUGAGGAGCGAAAGCGUGGGGAGCGAAC